AUGAAAGCAACUCACAACGUGCACGGAUGCAGUACUAGAGCAAGCGACUCCCUAACCAGCUGUGAACAGAAGCGCCCUGAGGAGCUGGGGGCUGGAGCUUAAGAAGGACUUCUCCUCCCAAAUGCAGU